AGUAGGGUGGCUGAGAUCAAAUAGGUGAUAGAUUGUAAAUCUAUCAAGGGGUUAAACCCUCCUACUA
rnacentral:tRNA from 1 species